UGUCUUUGUAUAUCUUCUUUGAUCAUAAAUCUACAACAGAUGCCAUAAUUCACAGAAAAGUUGAGGAACCGAAUAAAUCUCUGAAACUAAGGGCAACAUAAGAAAGGCAAACUGACAAGUAAUACCUGUUCUCACCUUGCCAACAAGCCACCCAAAGCCAUACUACUGUCCAUGACGUUUCUAACUGCCCCUUCAUCGUGCUGUCCUCUGGAACUCAAUUUUCCCUCUCCCUUUCAGGGUUUAACUUCCAUACGACAAAUACAAUGCAUAAUAAAAAACUAACACUUAGAGAAAGAGAGAUCUGUUCAUCAUAUCAAGAAAUCGAUACCUCAAGUGCAUACAAGGGAGAAUCCACACCUUCUACGGAACAAGCAUGUAAUACUAAAUGUAGUCGAAUCUCAAAUAGCUAUAGUUAAUAUUUCCGGUGCAAGGGACGAGCUGCUGCUGCCUGCAGGGACGAGCUGUACUGCUGCUGCUGCCUGCUGGGACUGGAGAAAGGGAGGGAGGCGCCGGUGGGAGAGGCAGCGGCGCCGGUGCCGGUGGGAGGCGGGGAUGGGAGGUCGGAAAAGACAGAAAGGGAGGGGUGGAGGCGGGUGGAAUGGGAUGGCCGAAUGGAACAG
rnacentral:lncRNA from 1 species